rnacentral:rRNA from 1 species
AGAGUUUGAUCCUGGCUCAGGAUGAACGCUGGCGGCGUGCUUAAUACAUGCAAGUCGAACGGACGAUUUUUUGUAGUAAUACAAAGGAGAGUUAGUGGCGAACGGGCGAGUAACGAGUUGGUGACCUGCCCCGAAGAUCGGGAUAACAGUCCGAAAGGGCUGCUAAUACCGGAUGUGGUCUACUGGAUUAGAAGCGGUAGAUUAAAGCAGUAAUGCACUUCGGGAGGGACCUGCUUCCCAUCAGCUAGUUGGUGAGGUAACGGCCCACCAAGGCGACGACGGGUAAGGGACCUGAGAGGGUGGUCCCUCGCAAUGGCACUGAAACACGGGCCAUACACCUACGGGUGGCAGCAGUAGGGAAUAUUGGGCAAUGGGCGAAAGCCUGACCCAGCAACGCCGCGUGCACGAUGAAGGCCUUCGGGUCGUAAAGUGCUUUUCUGAGGGAUGAGAAAGGACAGUACCUCAGGAAUAAGCCUCGGCUAACUACGUGCCAGCAGCCGCGGUAAAACGUAGGAGGCGAGCGUUAUCCGGAUUUACUGGGCGUAAAGCGUGUGUAGGCGGUACGGCAAGUUGGAUGUGAAAGCUCCUGGCUUAACUAGGAGAGGUCGUUCAAAACUACCGAACUUGAGUUUAUCAGAGGAAGAUGGAAUUCCCGGUGUAGUGGUGAAAUGCGUAGAUAUCGGGAGGAACACCAGUGGCGAAAGCGAUCUUCUGGGAUAAUGCUGACGCUCAGACACGAAAGCUAGGGUAGCGAACGGGAUUAGAUACCCUGGUAGUCC